rnacentral:rRNA from 1 species
GUUUAUUGCCAUGCCACCAUGAAUGAGCCCAGUCCCGUCUUAUUUGGGAAGAUAAGCAGGGUCGGGCCUGGUUAGUACUUGGGAUGGGAGACCACCUAGGAAGACCAGGUACUGUAGGUG